rnacentral:lncRNA from 1 species
UGUGAUUUCAUCUGGAGUCCCCAGGCCCCUCCUCAUCCUUCCCAGGGUUGCUCUGAGGCCAUCCCUCGUCAUCUAGGAGGGGUCCAUGUAAAAGCAUUUAUAAACAGCUCCAAAUGGGAGCCUGGCGCGCCCACCUUUGGAGCACUUUUUUCUACUGCAGAUUUAUCUACUGCUAGUUAAAUCUCUGGAUUUAACUCUGAUGAAAGACCUGAGGCUGAAGGGGAACUUCAAUGUCAUAUAUUUUAAAGGUUGACUCACAGUUUGGAGCAAGAAUUAAAGAACCACGAACAUCAAGGUAAAACGGGCAACGGCAGUGGGGCAAGCCUCUCUGCAGCCAGCGUGUCCAACCUCUCCUGCGUGCCAGAAGUCCCCAGGCAGGAGUGUGGUGGGACGUCCGGCUGGGGCUGGAUGAAGUGGCUCAUGCCUGUAAUCCAAGCACUUUGACAGGCUGAGGCGGGCGGAUGGCUUGAGCCCAGGAGUCUGAGACCAGCCUGGAAAACAUAGAGAAACCCUGUCUCAAUAUAAGAAGAAGAAGAAAAAGAAAAAAAAAAAUCAAAAACGAAAACAACACAAAUUUUAGA